UACGGGGGGGAGCAAGCGUUGUUCGGAUUUACUGGGCGUAAAGGGCGCGUAGGCGGCGUGACAAGUCACUUGUGAAAUCUCCGGGCUUAACCCGGAGCGGCCAAGUGAUACUGUCGUGCUAGAGUGCGGAAGGGGCUACUGGAAUUCUCGGUGUAGCGGUGAAAUGCGUAGAUAUCGGGAGGAACACCAGUGGCGAAGGCGACUUCCUGGCCUGUUCUUGACGCUGAGGCGCGAAAGCUAGGGGAGCAAACGGG
rnacentral:rRNA from 1 species